rnacentral:rRNA from 1 species
UUGUAAGUAAAAUGUCGUAACAAGGUCUCCGUUGGUGAACCAGCGGAGGGAUCAUUACAGAGUUGCAAAACUCCCUAAACCAUUGUGAACGUUACCUAUACCGUUGCUUCGGCGGGCGGCCCCGGGGUUUACCCCCCGGGCGCCCCUGGGCCCCACCGCGGGCGCCCGCCGGAGGUCACCAAACUCUUGAUAAUUUAUGGCCUCUCUGAGUCUUCUGUACUGAAUAAGUCAAAACUUUCAACAACGGAUCUCUUGGUUCUGGCAUCGAUGAAGAACGCAGCGAAAUGCGAUAAGUAAUGUGAAUUGCAGAAUUCAGUGAAUCAUCGAAUCUUUGAACGCACAUUGCGCCCGCCAGCAUUCUGGCGGGCAUGCCUGUUCGAGCGUCAUUUCAACCAUCAAGCCCCCGGGCUUGUGUUGGGGACCUGCGGCUGCCGCAGGCCCUGAAAAGCAGUGGCGGGCUCGCUGUCGCACCGAGCGUAGUAGCAUACAUCUCGCUCUGGUCGCGCCGCGGGUUCCGGCCGUUAAACCACCUUUUAACCCAAGGUUGACCUCGGAUCAGGUAGGAAGACCCGCUGAACUUAAGCAUAUCAAUAACCCGGAGGAA